UAGCCUGAGCAGCAGAGCAAGACUCUGUCUCAAAAUAAUAAAUAAAUAAAUAAAUAUCUCAUUGUGUUUCAAACAAAAUUUCUUCUGCAUAUCCACUGCAUCAACUUGCAUAUUAACUAUAACCAUUUUGUUUAUAUCCAAUCCUGAGAAAUCUUUGAGGACUAAUUUCACUCUUUUCUGCCAUUUUGGUAAACAUACCAAAUGCCAUCAAACAAAAUGCACAAAAUUCCUGAGAAAUACAUUUUAUCCUUGAGGAGUAGACUUGCCGUGUUAGAGGAACUCAUGGCUACCAAGCUUCUAGUUUAAUAAACAUGACUAGAAUACUCUAUCUUAAUAUGAGUAGCUAGUACUCACAAGGCAUCUAGAAAGUUAAUACUUAUGGUCUGAAAAUAGCCACAUUUUUUAGCUGGCCACAAAUUACAAUUGCAGAAUAUUUAUGGCCAUACAAGACAUCUUCCACCAAGCCUGAAAAAUGUAUAAAUGUCCUAGGACUGCAGCAUUUUUUCUUAAAGAUAAUAUUAGUGAGCUAGCUUAGGUCAACGGGUUAAUGGUCAUUGUUAAAACCAAUAGCCCCGACUUCAGUAAGUACAUCUGCACCUUCCAAGUUUAAUUGUAACUCUUUCUCUUUAUAGUUACUUAUAAGUGGAGACACUAACAAAAGACAAUGCAUUCCUGCUUUUGUUUCCUGAGGAUGUCCAACUCUGUAAUGGAGUAAUUUCUGAUAAACUUGCUUCCUUCGAUGUGCUCUCUGACUCACCUCAAAUUUUUUCCUGCACAAAAUCUAAGAAUCCCACUUUGUGGUCUGUAUCAGGACCCUUUUUUCCAGGAACAUCUUUCAGCAACACCAUGAAGGGACACCAAGACAAGACCCCCACUCCAAGGAAAACAAGCCACACAGAAUCAAUCAGCUGGCAAGUGGGUCAUCUUUUAGAGCCGUGAAGCCAUUCAGGGGUAAAUCUUUUCAAGACAGUAAAACAGGUGUCUCAGCACUGAGAGCUCUGUGCCUGACAUGACCCAAACAGCCAGCAAUUUUCUCCUUCUCCAGUUAAACCUGUUCAAAAUGAGGAACCUAUCCAGCAGGUGUAUCCCAACACCUAUCCUCAGCUUGAAGAAUCCAAUAUGACCUUCACUCUCCUUGGAGACCGUGGUCCUCUGGAAAGGUGAAAGGGCUGAUCCUACUCUAAAGAAGACUCUAGCUAAAUCAGAGGCCUGACUAUCUCUAACACCCAUAGCUUACUGCAGGUUUGAACUGCUCCAAAGUAAAGCUUAUAAUGAAGUCCUGUUGAGUUAACAUAUGGAAGGCCUUUCCUAACCACAGAUCUCCUAAUAGAGGAAAGGACUCAUCAAUUACAAAAAUAUGUCAUCAAUCUAGGACAGGUGCAAGGCACUCUGUGAGUAUGGAAACAAGAGUUUUCCCCUCCCACAUGGGAGGAAAAUUCAGUUUCAGGUCAGCUAGGGAUUUA